rnacentral:rRNA from 1 species
AUUGAACGCUGGCGGCAUGCCUUACACAUGCAAGUCGAACGGUAACAGGUUAAGCUGACGAGUGGCGAACGGGUGAGUAAUGUAUCGGAACGUGCCCAGUCGUGGGGGAUAACUGCUCGAAAGAGCAGCUAAUACCGCAUACGACCUGAGGGUGAAAGCGGGGGAUCGCAAGAACUCGCGCGAUUGGAGCGGCCGAUAUCAGAUUAGGUAGUUGGUGAGGUAAAGGCUCACCAAGCCGACGAUCUGUAGCUGGUCUGAGAGGACGACCAGCCACACUGGGACUGAGACACGGCCCAGACUCCUACGGGAGGCAGCAGUGGGGAAUUUUGGACAAUGGGCGCAAGCCUGAUCCAGCCAUGCCGCGUGCGGGAAGAAGGCCUUCGGGUUGUAAACCGCUUUUGUCAGGGAAGAAAAGGUUCUGGCUAAUACCUGGGACUCAUGACGGUACCUGAAGAAUAAGCACCGGCUAACUACGUG